AUUUGUGACUGGAAGUAAGCUGCUAUUAUCCGUUUAAGGAACAUCAGAAUCAGAGAGAAAAUGGAAGCGGGAAAUGUUGUUGGUUACAUUCCGUUAAAGCAACAGCUACAAAAACGACUUGUCCAUUCUCCUCCUCGUCUCUCUUCUUUCCCUCGCACUCUUACUGUUACCGCUAAGGCUUCUCUAAGUUCCCAGGGAGAAAGUGGGUAUAGAGGGCCGAAGCCAAGGAGGGAAUGGAUAGCUGAUUGGGUAUCCAAUAAUGAUGAUUUGGUUCGCAGUAUGCCAAUAUACGUUGGUGGAUUGUCUUUAUUGGCUGUUCUCUUCAAUCGCACCGUCUCUGGUAUUGCUCCCGUCGCUGAUGCUAGCAGUUCUCAAUCCAGAGCAGAUUUACUAACACUUGGCUUGGCAGUGACGAACAUCUUGAAUGGUCUUGUUUGGCUUUCCAUUCGACCAAAAUCCAUAUCUGUGGUAAAUCCUAACGGCGUGGAGUGCCAAAGAAUAGCUUCUCACCUACCAAAUUUUGUUAUUUCUGAGCUGCUAUGGGCAUGGAAUUCUCUAUCAGAUGUCACAUGCUGCAGGUCUCUGGUCAUUGUUUAUGAUGGAAAAUUUAUACUUCAAAUUGGGUUUGCUUUCUUUAAUGGAAGUGAUGCAGUAGUUGUGGACACUAAUAAAUUGAUAGAAGGAUCACUUUACCAAGGAGUUUUAAAAUCUGCAUCACAGAGCUACUUGGCCAACUUAUCUCUUUAUCCUGGGAAGUCCGAGCUACCAUUUCUUCCUUCAAAUACACAGGCAGUAAUCUUGCAACCUCUAGGAGACAAAGGAAUUGCCAUAAUUGGUGGUGAUAUGAUCAGAGGAUUCACAUCUUCUGACCAGGCAUGGAUCACAUUGAUUGGAGAGAAGUUAGAUGCUACACUGACAAAAGUUAUUUGACAUUCCUAGUGGCAGUGCGAGAUUGAUGUUUCAAGACAUUUAAACUGCAGUAUCUUAAGUUCAAGCAUUUGCCUAUAAUCAUCAUGUCUUCAUUCAAGGAACAAAGAGUGGUAAUAUUCUUUCCAUGAUUGUUUGCUUUGAAAUGAUUUUCCCUGCGAGUUUAAGCUCCGCUUUCAUGUUGAUUGGUGAUAGGAUGAGAUACCAAGGAGGUAACUUUUUCAUAUUUCUUGUGAGAAAAUGAGGAAGAUUAUAAUACAGAGAAAGCUAUAACUGAGAUUUCCUUCCUGGACCUCCCAUCUCCUAAGGCAUAGUUUGUAAUAGUUAUCCAAGAGGCAACAAAGCUUCCUUCUCUUUUCUUUUUUCCCCCCUUCUUUUGGGCUGUCUAGCAAAAGCAGCAACUAACACUAAGAGUCUACAGUUUUGAAGCUCAAACUUCUGCUAUGCCGAAUCAAAUUAAGCGUUCUAAUGAAAAGAUGUCAUCUCUUUAUAUGAUGAUGAAGAUGACCAAGGCGACGCGAUGGAGGGGGUGAAUCCUUCAUCCGCACAAGUUUUAACCCGCCCGCCCUGCCCCACUUAACAGAAGUAUGCUUGCCUGAUGUGUUGUUUACAGUUCAACUAAAUGAUUUAAUUACAAUUGGAGAGAAGUAGAACGAAAUUGUGUGUGUAUUAAUGAGCCUCCAAUGGAGUUUAUAUACAAAGCAAACAAAACAGGUUGUGCUAACCUGGGCAGAUAAACGUACAUGACCUAUCCAAACUGAAUGAUAAAUAUACAGACUUAAAGCGUAAAUUAACUGAAGAUGACUCAUCCUAAUUUUCAGCUGCUUUCUGAGUUGUACGUGCUAUGUUACGCCCCCUCAAGUUAGGUGUAAAGAGAUAACACCUAACUUGGGAAGCAUCCGCAUGGUGAGCGGAUCUGCAAUUUGAUCAGGGAAGUGAACGUGUGAUACUCGAACUAGGACAUUGCGGACUUGGUUGCGAACAAAGUGAAGAUCAACCUCAAGUUGCUUCAUUUUCGCAUGAUGUAUCGGGUUUUCAACAAUGUAUGUGACCCCAAGG